GAUGAACGCUAGCGGCAGGCUUAAUACAUGCAAGUCGAGGGGCAGCAUGAUUGUAGCAAUACAAUUGAUGGCGACCGGCAAACGGGUGCGGAACACGUACACAACCUCCCAAUAAGUGGGGAAUAGCCCAGAGAAAUUUGGAUUAAUACCCCGUAACAUAACGAUGUGGCAUCACAUUGUUCUUAUAGAUUUUUCGUCUCUUGAUGGGUGUGCGGCUGAUUAGAUAGUUGGCGGGGUAACGGCCCACCAAGUCUACGAUCAGUAGCUGAUGUGAGAGCAGGAUCAGCCACACGGGGACUGAGACACGGGCCCGAGUACUACGGGAGGCAGCAGUAAGGAAUAUUUGACACAGGACGCAAGUCCGAUCCAGCCAUGCCGCGUGAAGGAUUAAGGUCCUCUGGAUUGUAAGCUUCUUUUAUAAGGGACGAAAAAAGGCUUUUCUAAGUCGUCUGACUGUACCUUACGAAUAAGCACCGGCUAACUCCGUGCCAGCCGCCGCGGUAACAC
rnacentral:rRNA from 1 species